rnacentral:rRNA from 1 species
AUUGAACGCUGGCGGCAGGCCUAACACAUGCAAGUCGAGCGAGCGGCGGACGGGUGAGUAAUGCCUGGGAAUUGCCAAGUCGAGGGGGAUAACAGUUGACAACUACUGCUAAUACCUCAUACGGUUUUCUUGCCCAGGUGGGAUUAGCUAGUUGGUGAGGUAAUGGCUCACCAAGGCGACGAUCCCUAGCCGGUCUGAGAGGAUGAUCAGCCACACUGGAACUGAGACACGGCCCAGACUCCUACGGGAGGCAGCAGUGGGGAAUCUUGAGCAAUGGGCGAAACCCUGAUGGAGACAUGCCGCGUGUGUGAAGAAGGCCUUCGGGUUGUAAAACACUUUCAGCGAGGAGGCGUUACUCGCCGAAGAAGCACCGGCUAACUCCGUGCCAGCAGCCGCGGUAAUUC